GUUCUUAUGUGGCAGGGGAGAUACCUUGAUCACGAAGGUGGUUUUCCCAGAGCAAGUCUUAUCCAUUGCACUCCAGAUGUGCUGACCCCUGCAAUUUUCCAAAUGUGGGAAACUCAACUGCAUAAUUUGUGGUAUUGGGAGAUUGCAUUUGCGCUCUCCCC